rnacentral:rRNA from 1 species
GACGAACGCUGGCGGCGUGCUUAACACAUGCAAGUCGAGCGAGAAACUUCGGUUUCUAGCGGCGGACGGGUGAGUAACACGUGGGCAACCUGCCUCACAAGGGGGGAUAGCCUUCCGAAAGGAAGAUUAAUACCGCAUAACACAAGGGAAACGCAUGUUUCUUUUGCCAAAGAAUUUCGUUGUGAGAUGGGCCCGCGGCGCAUUAGCUUGUUGGUGGGGUAACGGCUCACCAAGGCGACGAUGCGUAGCCGACCUGAGAGGGUGAUCGGCCACAUUGGAACUGAGACACGGUCCAGACUCCUACGGGAGGCAGCAGUGGGGAAUAUUGCACAAUGGAGGAAACUCUGAUGCAGCAACGCCGCGUGAGUGAUGAAGGUCUUCGGAUUGUAAAGCUCUGUCUUCUGGGACGAUAAUGACGGUACCAGAGGAGGAAGCCACGGCUAACUACGUGCCAGCAGCCGCAGUAA